rnacentral:piRNA from 1 species
UGAAAGAGUGUUCGGAUUCUUAUCUGCUUU